AGUAACGUCGUAACAAGGUAACCCGUAGAGUUUGAAUCCUGGCUCAGGAUGAACGCUGGCGGUAUGCUUAACACAUGCAAGUCGAACGGUGUCUUCGGACAUAGUGGCGGACGGGUGAGUAACGCGUGAGAAUCUAGCUUCAGGUCUGGGACAACCACUGGAAACGGUGGCUAAUACCGGAUGUGCCGGAAGGUGAAAGGCUUGCUGCCUGAAGAUGAGCUCGCGUCCGAUUAGCUAGUAGGUGGGGUAAGAGCCUACCUAGGCGACGAUCGGUAGCUGGUCUGAGAGGAUGACCAGCCACACUGGGACUGAGACACGGCCCAGACUCCUACGGGAGGCAGCAGUGGGGAAUUUUCCGCAAUGGGCGAAAGCCUGACGGAGCAAUACCGCGUGAGGGAGGAAGGCUCUUGGGUUGUAAACCUCUUUUCUCAGGGAAGAACACAAUGACGGUACCUGAGGAAUCAGCAUCGGCUAACUCCGUGCCAGCAGCCGCGGUAAUACGGAGGAUGCAAGCGUUAUCCGGAAUGAUUGGGCGUAAAGCGUCCGCAGGUGGCUGUGUAAGUCUGCUGUCAAAGAGCAAAGCUCAACUUUGUAAAGGCAGUGGAAACUACACGGCUAGAGUGCGUUCGGGGCAGAGGGAAUUCCUGGUGUAGCGGUGAAAUGCGUAGAGAUCAGGAAGAACACCGGUGGCGAAGGCGCUCUGCUAGGCCGCAACUGACACUGAGGGACGAAAGCUAGGGGAGCGAAUGGGAUUAGAUACCCCAGUAGUCCUAGCUGUAAACGAUGGAUACUAGGCGUGGCUUGUAUCGACCCGAGCCGUGCCGUAGCUAACGCGUAAGUUCCCGCCUGGAGACCCCC
rnacentral:rRNA from 1 species